rnacentral:lncRNA from 1 species
AACUCCUUUGCUUGUACCUGCAGAAGUAGAUUGAUAAAUGUUAUGGGUUUUAUGGAGUGUCCCAUCGUCUCCUUCUAGCUCUGGAACUUUAAUGUCUUCCGAUAGACAUAGCUCUGCAUACUGCUGAGUUAGCUGAUUUGUAGCUAUAGACUUCAGUUUAUCUUCAUUAGUCUUUAGCUUUUCUAUCUCAUUACCCAUACUGUCCACUUUUAUUGAAAGCGUAGUUAGGGUGCUAAGUAUUUUUUC